ACCUACGGGAGGCAGCAGCGAGGAAUAUUGCGCAAUGGGCGAAAGCCUGACGCAGUAACGCCGCGUGCGGGAAGAAGGCCUUCGGGUCGUAAACCGCUUUUCGGAGGGACGAGGAAGGACGGUACCUCUGGAAUAAGUCUCGGCUAACUACGUGCCAGCAGCCGCGGUAAGACGUAGGAGGCGAGCGUUAUCCGGAUUCACUGGGCGUAAAGCGCGUGUAGGCGGUUCGGCAAGUCGGUUGUGAAAGCCCCUGGCUCAACUGGGGGAGGUCAGCCGAAACUGCGGGACUGGAGGGUCAGAGAGGAAGGUGGAAUUCCCGGUGUAGCGGUGGAAUGCGUAGAGAUCGGGAGGAACACCAGUGGCGAAAGCGGCCUUCUGGCUGACCACUGACGCUGAGACGCGAAAGCGUGGGUAGCAAACGGGAUUAGAUACCCCGGUAGC
rnacentral:rRNA from 1 species